rnacentral:rRNA from 1 species
AGUGAACGCUGGCGGCAGGCCUAACACAUGCAAGUCGAGCGGCAGCGGGUCCUUCGGGAUGCCGGCGAGCGGCGGACGGGUGAGGAAUGCAUCGGAAUCUGCCCUGUCGUGGGGGAUAACCUAGGGAAACUUAGGCUAAUACCGCAUACGACCCACGGGUGAAAGCGGGGGAUCGCAAGACCUCGCGCGAUAGGAUGAGCCGAUGUCCGAUUAGCUAGUUGGCGGGGUAAAGGCCCACCAAGGCGACGAUCGGUAGCUGGUCUGAGAGGAUGAUCAGCCACACUGGGACUGAGACACAGCCCAGACUCCUACGGGAGGCAGCAGUGGGGAAUAUUGGACAAUGGGCGCAAGCCUGAUCCAGCCAUGCCGCGUGGGUGAAGAAGGCCUUCGGGUUGUAAAGCCCUUUUGUCCGGGAAGAAAUCGUCUGGGCUAAUACCCCGGGCGGAUGACGGUACCGGAAGAAUAAGCACCGGCUAACUUCGUG